AUUGAACGCUGGCGGCAGGCCUAACACAUGCAAGUCGAGCGGAGCGGCGGACGGGUGAGUAAUGCCUAGGAAUCUGCCUGGUAGUGGGGGAUAACGUCCGGAAACGGGCGCUAAUACCGCAUACUAUCAGAUGAGCCUAGGGAGGAUUAGCUAGUUGGUGGGGUAAAGGCCUACCAAGGCGACGAUCCGUAAAUGGUCUGAGAGGAUGAGCAGUCACAUUGGAACUGAGACACGGUCCAGACUCCUCCGGGAGGCAGCAGGGGGGAAUAUUGGGCAAUGGGCGAAAGACUUAUCCAGCCAGGCCGCGUGGGUGAAGAAGGUCUUCGGAUUGUAAAGCACUUUAAGUUGGGAGGCGUUACCAACAGAAUAAGCACCGGCUAACUUCGUGCCAGCAGCCGCGGUAAUUC
rnacentral:rRNA from 1 species